AGGAAAUAAAAUGCGUUUUUUGAAGCCCCACUAUGCCCCAUGGUAUCAGCCCCUUCUGAUUUUCGGUAUGCGUCCUCGCAUAGCAUCUUUGCAUUGCGGCGGAGCUCACUUUUGUUUUUCCUUCUCCAUGGGAUGGCUGCAUAGCUUUUGUUGCAGUUUUCUAUGACAUAUGCAUAGCAUGCUUUUUCCACGCUUGCAUACUUAAAAGCAAACAUAGCUAGAAACAGGUUGAAUGUGGCUACAGACUGCACAACUUAUAGGCAUGCUGAUGAGAUCGAAUUGGUGCGGCACUUUAGUUUGACCGUUCUUUGCCUGGUAGAAAUAAAGGGCACCUACUUCACGUUGCAUGUUGCAUUACUUUAUGACCCCCCCCGCCCCCUCUUUCUCUCAGCGCAAGGGGUCCCCCAUUACUUCCACCGAUGCACAAGGAGUCCCCGUAAUAUCCAUGGCUGAGAACCACUGCCAGACAUAUUUCACAUUUGAAUGCGUAACACUUCCAUCAAAUAGUGUGCCUUAAAAUUCAACCCAAAAUUUGUAGCAAGACAUUAAAUCAGCGCAGUUCACAACAGCCGCAGUUGAAACACCGUGUUGCACUCGGAAACAGCUUCGGAUACAGCCAUAGAUAUAUAUUUAUUCUUUUUUUCUAGAAAGCGAUGAUACAUGAACUUAUGUACAUAUGUAUAAGAAUGCGAGAGUGAGUCGUCCAAAAUAUGCCCAACGCGCUGGAGUGAAAAAUCAAAAGCAUACACCUCGCGGCAAAACCCUCCAAUUAAAAAAAAAA
rnacentral:lncRNA from 1 species